rnacentral:rRNA from 1 species
GAUGAACGCUGGCGGCGUGCCUAACACAUGCAAGUCGAGCGAACGGACGAGAAGCUUGCUUCUCUGAUGUUAGCGGCGGACGGGUGAGUAACACGUGGAUAACCUACCUAUAAGACUGGGAUAACUUCGGGAAACCGGAGCUAAUACCGGAUGAUAUUUUGAACCGCAUGGUUCAAAAGUGAAAGACGGUCUUGCUGUCACUUAUAGAUGGAUCCGCGCUGCAUUAGCUAGUUGGUAAGGUAACGGCUUACCAAGGCAACGAUGCAUAGCCGACCUGAGAGGGUGAUCGGCCACACUGGAACUGAGACACGGUCCAGACUCCUACGGGAGGCAGCAGUAGGGAAUCUUCCGCAAUGGGCGAAAGCCUGACGGAGCAACGCCGCGUGAGUGAUGAAGGUCUUCGGAUCGUAAAACUCUGUUAUUAGGGAAGAACAUAUGUGUAAGUAACUGUGCACAUCUUGACGGUACCUAAUCAGAAAGCCACGGCUAACUACGUG